CCGAGGGCCGGCGGGCGAGGGCUCCGAGCUGCUCGCCGCCUGCUGCCUGCCGCGGGGUGAAGCCGCGGACCCCGCGCCGGACCUCCCCGCCGGCCGCGAGCAGCUGAGGCGCUGCCGCCUGUGCGCCCCGCUCCGCCGCGACCUCCACGCGGCGCAGCCCCGCGCCAGCGCCGCCCGCGUCCUCCGUGGCGCCCCCGAUGCUCCCCGCGACCCCUCGGGGGCGCCGAGGUGCGCGCCGCCACCUUUAGCCUCGAAGAAGCGAGUUUUAUGUGGGGGUUUUGCCCCCCUUUUUUAAAUGGUGUUGUGAGUGCUGCGCAGUCAGGCCCCUCUGACUCUGGGAAGCUGCUGUACCCCGCGCGGCGCGGCGCGGCACCCCGCGGUUGGCGGGCUUCUCCCCUUCAGCAAAUGGAGGUGGUCUGCGCGCCACGGCCCCGGGCGCAGUUCGGGGCGCCAGCACUGUACGCCCAACGCCUACCGGCUCCGGGCCGGCAGUGUCUUUGCUGCUAUGCUUAGCCCCAAACUGGGCUCUCCAAUGAUAACUGACCGCUGGGGCCACCGCCUUUCACUCAGCCGCCGGGUUCCCAAACCUGGGGAAAAGGACCUAAAAAAGCAGCCGCCCUCCCCCCACCUUAGGCUACCUGGGAGCUGCACUGGAGAGAGCCGAUUCCCGUUCCUGAAAAUCUUUCCUCCACUUCUGACCCCACUUCUGAGCAGCUUUCCACCGCACAUCCUUUUCAGACUCCCGUUAGCCUGUUAUAGGUGUUCUCUUGCUCCAGUUUUGUGUGCACUUGAGAUCUUCAAAGAGGAAAUGCCCGCGCGUGGGCCUCCAGCAAAACGCCCUUGCAGAACCAUCCAGUUAAUGAGAAAAGGAGCCACCCAGAGAUGAAUUUCAGACCCUCUACUGAAUGGAGGAUUCCGAGAGCCCAUCCAAAGGCAGGAACUUCAUUGGUCAGCUGAGUGGUGGACAUGAAGGUCUGCCAGUUGCUGAUGGCCUCUGUGCCGAUGAGAAAAUAGAAAUGAUAUAAAGUCCAAAGGAGAAGAAACUUCUGACCAAAAGCGAGGCAAUUAGUGUGGGGCAGAGGUGGCCUGUUGAGAGAUGUGGGAAACGUGGAGAGCGAGAGAAGCAGUGGAAAGCCUUCACUUCUGCGAAGAACAUCAGCAGUCUUUAGAAAACUCAUUCUUAGAAGUUCUUCUCUAGAGUUGCAUUUAAGGAUAUUUGCCUGUACAGAUGAGUGUUUUGUAGUCCUAACAAAAAUCCAUGAAAUAAGGACAUAAAAGCAGACUGAUAAUUUUCACUUUUGUAUUUAAAAGAUUCACUUCUAUAUGUUUCCAUAGACAAUUAUAUUUAAUGCAAAAAUUAUAGCCAAAUUUAGAAAAAAAAUCUAGAUUAUUACACCUUUAUCAAGAAUCCCUGUUUUGCCACUAGUCACCUAUUUUUUUCUCUGUAUGUGUGUGUAUGUGUGAAUAUGAUUAGCAUCUAUUCUAUAACAUGCAAUUAUUUAGGUUUUAGAAGUGUAAACAGGCCUGAAAUGGUGGCACAUACCUGUGGUUUCAGCACUCAGGAAGCUGAGUGAGUUCUCUGUGAGUUCAAGGCCAGAAUGGGCUACAUAAGCAAAUCCAUGGCCAACCUGCCCUCCGUAGCUCUGCAGUGAGACUUUGUCGAAAAAAAAAAAAAAAAAAAAAAGUCCAAUAUAAUAAAGUGACUUUACCUCCUUUAAUAAGCCUAAUGAUUUUCAGUAUUUUUGUCUAAUACUGAAAUAUUACUUAUUAAAAAAUAACUACAAAAAUUAUUUAAAGAUGUAGUAUAAAAUUUCUUUAAUAUAAUCCCUAAUAUCAUAAACUCAUCUUUGACACGUGUUUGCACACUAUAUCCUUUGUACCCUACAACUGUCCUGUGCUCAUCUCACUUGUCAGAGUUAAGGAGAAAGGUUCUCCAUCCCUCUGUGUCUUCCUCCACUACCAUCACUAUCUCAGCUUUAUUAUUUUUUAUUUUUCUUAUCUCUGGUUAUUACAAUAAAUACACUCAAGUCUUUGUGGAAAUGACCAGGGAAACUCUGAACAAGUCCUUCAGUUAUAUCUGAAUAAAGAGAAAAAGAAAGGCAGUGAGUUAGCUGUUAGAGAUUCUAAGGUUCUUGAAAUCUGGGUAAUGAGAAAGUAGUUUUUCAGAAGGGAGAGUUGCUGUGUGUCUUUCCGAUGACAAAUGCAAAAUUGCAUGUAUUGUGACUGUUCUUAAUACUGGAGAUAUGAGCUGCUAAAUACAGUCAAAUUUGGAGACCAAUGUAUCCAACACUAUACUCAUAUUCACAAGUCUCUCCCUCUUCCCCUUUUCCUGUCUCACAAUCCCAGCCUCUUUUGAUUCUUGUGCUAAAGAUUCUUCCUUCCCCUUUGUAUCAUUAUAAGUUCUGGUCAUUCUGUCUCUGCUACACCUACUUUCUCAGACCCUCCAUCUGUGUUAACUCUGACUCAUCUUCAACCUCCACACAAAGACCAAAAUUAAGACUACAAAAAUGUCCUUGCCCAGUUCCGAGACUUCAUUAGUUCUCAAACUAUACUUUCCCAGCAGAGUAGAAGACAACUUGCAGUUUCAUGUAUCUGAGAUAUUUAAUGGUUAUAUUUUCCUCAGCACUGGACUAUAUGCUCUGUAAGAGGAAUUGUCAUUGCAUCAGAAGUUAGUGAAGUGCCUGAAUAUAUAGUAGAUUACCAAGAUUACAUAAUUUUUAAAUAAAUAUAAAAGUUGAUAUGAUUCAAAAGAGUUAUAGACAAUAUAGUGAAGUAUUGAACAAGCCAGAUAUUAUAGUGUAAGCAAAGUGACAAAAAACUUUUAUCCAACUUAGUUCCAUUUUGUCAUAAUUAUUAAAACCCUAGUAUUUUCCAGAGAUGUUGUGGUAUCUUUGUAAACAUGAUCCCUUUUUCACUGCAACUCUGUAGUGUUUUAUUUCUGAAAUCUUCACAAAAAUGAAGCAGGACAUUUUUUUUAAAAAGAUAUAAAAUAAUCCCUAUUAUUGGCUUUUUUAUCUUUUUGUUUAGCAUUUGAUUUUUUCUACAAAUGUUCAGCUAUGUACUAAAUCGAUUUUGAUGUCUUCAGUAUAAAAUUGGAAAUGCCUUGGAGAAAACUGACAUUAUUAUUAAUAUGGAGUGGAUGAAUGAGGAAGGGAAGACUAAAUACAACUGAGACAAUAAUAUAAAAUAAUUGGGUUAAUAUUAUAUUAUUAAACACUUGUAAAACAAAGAUUAGAAUAGGACUUUUGAUUUUAGAGGGUUCAAUGAAAGUUACAAGACAGAUUGUAGUAGAAAGUGACAAAAUAGGAUAGAAUAUAAAAUGUGCCUUUCAGAAAUUGAGAUCAGAAAUUGGAGGGGGACGUCAAUAAAACAAAAACCACUUAGAUCACAUUCAGAUGCAAAAGAAGGAGUUUCAAAGGUAAGUAAGUGGCCUGUGAAGCUAUUGUCCUGAAUAGAAAAAAGAUGGUUUCUAAACUGCUGCUUGCCAUUGCUACCUGCCUUUUCCAAUCUGACUUAGUGAAAACAGUGUAUUUGGAAAUAGUUUGGCCUUACACACUGUUGUAAUUGACCUUCUGAGAUAGUCUUGACUUUCUAGCUUAGAGAGUUAAGAGCAUUGUUGGUGCUGAAGACAUAAAACAACGCUGAACAAGAUUUCAGAUACAAAAUACAAGCAAAUUCUGAAUGUUCACCCAUUAAGGGAGAGAUGCAGAGAUUUUGAAAACUUAUUUAAGUUUUGUCAUUGUUAUACGGAUUUUUUGAAAUGUAUCUUAAUACAAAUGUGAUUUAAGAAUUAUUUCUCUCUUACAUGUGCUGAUGUAUUUUAUUUAACAAUAAAUAAAGCUAAUUUCAAAAUGUU